GGUGCAAGCGUUAAUCGGAAUUACUGGGCGUAAAGGGUGCGUAGGUGGUUUGAUAAGUUGGGUGUGAAAGUCCUGGGCUUAACCUAGGGAUUGCGCUCAAUACUGUCAAGCUAGAGUACUGUAGAGGAAGGUGGAAUUUCCAGUGUAGCGGUGAAAUGCGUAGAUAUUGGAAGGAACAUCAGUGGCGAAGGCKAYUUUCUGGACAGAUACUGACACUGAGGCACGAAAGCGUGGGGAGCAAACAGGAUUAGAUACCCUGGUAGUCCACGCUGUAAACGAUGAUGACUGGCUGUUGGGGUCCUAGAGACCUUAGUAGCGAAGCUAACGCGUGAAGUCAUCCGCCUGGGGAGUACGGUCGCAAGAUUA
rnacentral:rRNA from 1 species